UUUCGAAGUUGCAUAUUAGCACUAUAUUCAUUUAAUGAUGUUGCCUAAGGUUAAAAUGAAGUAUGCUUAAACACUACUAAAUUUUUGGAAGUGUGAAUCUGGUUUUUUCUUGGUUCAUUCUUGACUUUGGAAAAAAGGCAAGCCAGCUUUUUUCCACUUGUUUUUUAUAUGUGACUGUUACCACAUGGUCUUGUCUUUGGCUGUACUAAAGUUUUUAAAUAUUAACUAUACACUUAAAUGUUACAUACUUAUACAUUACAUUGGUUCAUGGAUAAGGUUUUUUUUACUAUGUACAUCUUAUCUUUUGCUACAUGUCUUUUUAAGAUGAACUGAUGAUGUCUACUGAGCAGUAGACGAAACGUCUUCAAUAAAUAGAUGAAGUAGCUGAA